CUUCCUGUUUUAGUACCGUGCAUCUGCUCCCCCUCCAGAUGUGUGGCUAUGCUAACAGGAAAGAGCAACUCUGUCACGAUCUGAAGGGGUGUGCAGCCCUCCCCUGCCACCUCUAUAUGUACUGACUGUACAGAAACCA